UCUGCACAAUGCCUGAGACAUGAGUUGCAAUAGCCCUAAAAUAUCUCUCUCUUUUUUUAGGGGACAUACAGGCAAUUCGUAAGCACUGAGGAAGACUGAAAGAACAUAAAUACAAUCUUGAGGAACGAAUUAUAGUCUCAGAAUCUAUGCUGCUGCAGUGCUGAGAGGCCAUGAGAUUCUUGAACUGCUG
rnacentral:lncRNA from 1 species